rnacentral:lncRNA from 1 species
GUCAUAAUGAAUUUCUGAAUUUCAGGGACCAAAAAAAAAAAAAAGAAAACCAAAUACCAGCAAGGGUGCUCACCCACACGGCCACAGGGAUGACAUUGUUCAGAAGCUGCCAGGUUCUGUUUUCUCUUUAACAAACUCUCAGUCAACACCAGCCCUUUCCACCCCCAGAUAUGUCCAUGGACCCCGCACAGCUGGGUCAAGGAGGGCGUAGCAGGGUGAUGCAGGGGAGCGAGGCCCGUAUCCACGCCCAGCGUGGGCUGUGGCCCUUGCUGACCCUCGUCCUGGCUCUGAGGCAGGGCUGGUCAGAUCGGCGCGCCAACCUUCCGCAUUAUUAAAAUUUCCACUUUCCCAGAUAAUGAAGUGUGAUUUUUCCUCUCGGCUCUCCUUCUGCUCGCUUUCUAAUCUCUGGCCACUGCGGCUUGGGGACCACUGCGGCAGGCUGUACAAAGGGAGGCGGAGGCAUCUGAAGUGUCACUCCUCAGCCGCAGCAAAGCACCCGCAUUUCCAUCUUGUUGUCGCUCUGGCCCGUGUGCAGCAGCAGGUGAAAUCAAAGCGGCCCGUCUUCCCCAGCUCACCACAUUAUUUUUCACUGCUGUGGAGAAUCUCUCCGAGCUCCGUGAACCAAUAAAACAACGGUCCUGUUUGAGUUGAUAUAUUAAUAUUUACCGAGGAUUUGCAAGGUCGGGGCUAAAUGUCAGCAGAUUGCUGGGGCAGUCCUGUGGGGAAUAAUUAAACAAAUCUCACAGCAGUUCAGCUUCCUAACAUCUUUAUUAAUCUUUUUUUUUUCUACCCUCCUGAAAUAGUACAUUGAAAUAUUGCUUUUGCAACCUUAGAGAGGAGUCAGAGUAAGUUUAAUAAUAAAAUACUGUGUUGGCGAUGGUAGCUCCUGACAGUUUCUUGGACCCUUCCCUGGCAGAUGUCAGAGAGCAGGGCAGGCUGUGAUGUGUGAAUUAUAACCAAGCUGCUGAGAUUCUCACCUGCCCCUCCAUCAAAUUUAUCCUGACCAAUUUGCCAAACACAAUGAUAUUGUUGCUGUGAUUUGAUCCACUCGCUGACUGCCCGACUGGUCCUCUCUGCUCAGCAAGGUGACUGCCGGCUGCUUGUUCCCGAGGCCACCUUCUUUAACAUGAUUACAGUGUGCACUUUAGUACAAGUUCGACAAUUCUCUUUAAUAAGCUCCAUAAUUAGUGUUGG